GGUAAAGUGGCUGAGUUUAGGCGAUAAAUUGUAAAUUUAUAUACGAAAUUAAAAUUUCUUUUACCA
rnacentral:tRNA from 1 species